UACGGAGGAUGCGAGCGUUAUCCGGAUUUAUUGGGUUUAAAGGGUGCGUAGGUGGAUUGUUAAGUCAGUUGUGAAAGUUUGCGGCUCAACCGUAAAAUUGCAGUUGAUACUGGCAUCCUUGAGUACAGUAGAGGUAAGCGGAAUUCGUGGUGUAGCGGUGAAAUGCUUAGAUAUCACGAAGAACUCCGAUUGCGAAGGCAGCUCACUGGACUGCAACUGACACUGAGGCUCGAAAGUGUGGGUAUCGAACAGG
rnacentral:rRNA from 1 species